AGCCAGACUCCUACGGGAGGCAGCAGUGGGGAAUAUUGCACAAUGGGCGAAAGCCUGACCCAGCAACGCCGCGUGAAGGAAGAAGGCUUUCGGGUUGUAAACUUCUUUUCUGAGGGACGAAGAAAGUGACGGUACCUCAGGAAUAAGCCACGGCUAACUCCGUGCCAGCAGCCGCGGUAAUACGGAGGAUGCGAGCGUUAUCCGGAUUUAUUGGGUUUAAAGGGUGCGCAGGCGGCGUGUCAAGUCAGCGGUAAAAUGUCGGGGCUCAACCCCGGCCGGCCGUUGAAACUGGCGUGCUCGAGUUGGAGAGAAGUAUGCGGAAUUCGUGGUGUAGCGGUGAAAUGCAUAGAUAUCACGAAGAACCCCGAUUGCGAAGGCAGCAUACCGGCUCCACACUGACGCUGAGGCACGAAAGCGUGGGUAUCGAACAGGAUUAGAUACCCCCGUAA
rnacentral:rRNA from 1 species